UACGAAGGGGGCUAGCGUUGUCCGGAUUUACUGGGCGUAAAGAGCGCGCAGGCGGUCGUUCAAGUCGCGUGUGAAAGCCCCCGGCUCAACUGGGGAGGGUCACGCGAUACUGAUCGACUCGAAGGCAGGAGAGGGUAGUGGAAUUCCCGGUGUAGUGGUGAAAUGCGUAGAUAUCGGGAGGAACACCAGUGGCGAAGGCGACUACCUGGCCUGUUCUUGACGCUGAGGCGCGAAAGCUAGGGGAGCAA
rnacentral:rRNA from 1 species